CAGGGAUUGCCCCAGUAGCGGCGAGUGAAGCGGCAAGAGCUCAGAUUUGAAAUCGUGUUUCGGCACGAGUUGUAGAGUGUAGGCGGGAGUCUCUGUGGAGCGCGGUGUCCAAGUCCCUUGGAACAGGGUGCCUGAGAGGGUGAGAGCCCCGUAGGGUGCUGCGCGAAGCUUUUGAGGCCCUGCUGACGAGUCGAGUUGUUUGGGAAUGCAGCUCCAAGCGGGUGGUAAAUUCCAUCUAAGGCUAAAUAUUGGCGAGAGACCGAUAGCGAACAAGUACUGUGAAGGAAAGAUGAAAAGCACUUUGAAAAGAGAGUGAAACAGCACGUGAAAUUGUUGAAAGGGAAGGGUAUUGGGCUCGACAUGGGGGGUGCGCACCGCUGUCUCUUGUAGGCGGCGCUCUGGGCGCCCUCUGGGCCAGCAUCGGUUCCUGCUGCGGGAGAAGGGGCUCCGGAAAGUGGCUCUUCGAGUGUUAUAGCCGGGGCCAGAUGCCGCGUGUGGGGACCGAGGACUGCGGCUUCUGUCUCGGAUGCUGGCAUAACGGCGCAAUACCGC
rnacentral:rRNA from 1 species